UACUGACUAUAAUCAAACUCCGCAUACCAUUAAAAUUAAGCUAUGCAGUCGGAACGUGGGUGAUAACGUCCACGCUCGCGAGGGAAACAACCCAGAUCGUCAGCUAAGGUCCCAAAAUUGUGUUAAGUGAGAAAGGUUGUGAGAUUUCAUAAACAACUAGGAAGUUGGCUUAGAAGCAGCCACCUUUUAAAGAGUGCGUAAUUGCUCACUAGUCAAGAGAUCUUGCGCCAAUAAUGUAACGGGACUCAAACACAAUACCGAAGCUACGGGCACAUUAUGUGCGUUAGGAGAGCGUUUUAAUUUCGUUGAAGUCAGACCGUGAGGACUGGUGGAGAGAUUAAAAGUGAGAAUGCCGGCAUGAGUAACGAUUCGAAGUGAGAAUCUUCGACGCCUAUUGGGAAAGGUUUCCUGGGCAAGGUUCGUCCACCCAGGGUUAGUCAGGGCCUAAGAUGAGGCAGAAAUGCAUAGUCGAUGGACAACAGGUUAAUAUUCCUGUACUUGGUAAAAGAAUGAUGGAGUGACGAAAAAGGAUAGUUCUACCACUUACUGGAUUGUGGGGUAAGCAACAAGAGAGUUAUAUAGGCAAAUCCGUAUAGCAUAAUCUUGAGUUGUGAUGCAUAGUGAAGACUUCGGUCGAGUAACGAAUUGAAUGAUUUCAUGUUUCCAAGAAAAGCUUCUAGUGUUAAUUUUUUAUCAACCUGUACCGAGAACGAACACACGUUCCCAAGAUGAGUAUUCUAAGGCGAGCGAGAAAACCAAUGUUAAGGAACUCUGCAAAAUAACCCCGUAAGUUCGCGAGAAGGGGCGCCUAUUUUUAAUAGGCCACAGAAAAUAGGGGGGGCAACUGUUUAUCAAAAACACAGCUCUCUGCUAAGUUGUAAAACGACGUAUAGAGGGUGAAGCCUGCCCAGUGCCCGAAGGUUAAACGGAGAUGUUAGCUUACGCAAAGCAUUAAAGUGAAGCCCGGGUGAACGGCGGCCGUAACUAUAACGGUCCUAAGGUAGCGAAAUUCCUUGUCAACUAAUUAUUGACCUGCACGAAAGGCGCAAUGAUCUCCCUACUGUCUCAACAUUGGA
rnacentral:rRNA from 1 species